AUACGGAGGGUGCAAGCGUUAUCCGGAAUCAUUGGGCGUAAAGCGUCCGCAGGCGGUUUGUUAAGUUAGGUGUUAAAUUUUGCAGCUCAACUGUAAAUCUAUACCUAAAACUGGCAAACUAGAGUACUACAGAGGUAAGUGGAAUUCUGUGUGUAGGGGUAAAAUCCGUAGAUACACAGAGGAACACCAAAAGCGAAGACAGCUUACUGGGUAGUUACUGACGCUCAGGGACGAAAGCGUGGGGAGCGAACGGGAUUAGAAACCCCAGUAGUCC
rnacentral:rRNA from 1 species